AAUCUGAACGUGACAUGUCAUUAUAUUUGCAUAAUAACCAUGCAUCUCACUACACCUGAACACAACACCUUUUUAUGCUUAAACCCCUUUCUUCAUAUUCAAACACUCACCUGAUUCUAUUCAAACCCACACCCAACGGCUUGCAUUCAACCAAACUAAAAGUCGAUGACACCUCACUCCAUCCCAACCCAAAGUUGACGGCAGAGAACCGGCAACUGCCUCUCGAAGGAGCUCGCGCUCAACAGCACCCAACUCAUCCCAACAAAUUGCAUUUUCAUUGGAUUGGCGGCCAAGCAUUUAUGGCAGCAUUUUCUUCAUUCAGUAGCAUUUUGAACCAUGGGCCUUUGAACCAUCAGUUUGCAGUUGAACCAUGAGCCUUUGGUAGCAUUUUGAACCAUGAGCUGUUGGAGGAUUUUCUGCAUUCUCUAAUACUUUCUCCAGUGGAAUUUUCACAAGCACUUGCUACUAUGUGAAUGAAAGAGGCAACAAGCAGGGGAAAAAAAUCAAAUUCAAAAGUGAAAAAAAUCAAACCAUUAGGUGAUGACGGCAACCAUAGUGGGUUUGCUUGCUGGUUUCGGAGUGAUUUCUCUAAUACUUCCGUUUGCUGGCUGGUUUCAGCGUGAUGGUUUCAGAGUGCAGCUUUGGCUUGGAGCUCCUUUGGUUUCGGUGUGAAGUAGUCGGAUUGAAGUGCACGAUUUCUCCCCUUUUUACUUUCUAUCUCUUGUGUUUUGGUCUAUAGUAUUAAUUCCACAAUUACUUACGUGUCUCACUUAGAUUGGAGGGCUGGUUUUCCUAUAAAAUCAGAUGGGCUGUUUAGAAGCAUUCCCCUUAAACAAAUUACCACUAGUGAUUUGUGUAUUUUUUUAAAAAUGAUUGAAAAACAUUAAAAAGAUUUUUUGAAAAAAAAAAAGAAGAAGACUAGUUGCACU